rnacentral:rRNA from 1 species
GACGAACGCUGGCGGCGUGCUUAACACAUGCAAGUCGAACGGGAUUUAGUAAACAGAAACCUCGGUGGAAGAUUACUAAUGAGAGUGGCGAACGGGUGAGUAACGCGUGAGCAACCUGCCUAUGACAGUGGGAUAGCCUCGGGAAACCGGGAUUAAUACCGCACAAAAUCGUAGAAACACAUGUGUUAACGGUCAAAGAUUUAUCGGUCGUAGAUGAGCUCGCGUCUGAUUAGAUAGUUGGGGAGAUAACAGCCCAGCAAGGCGACGAUCAGUAGCCGGUCUGGGAGCAUGCACGCCCACAUUGGAGCUUCGACACGGCCCGAACUCCUACGGCAGGCUGCAAUGGGCACUAUUGCCCAAUGCGGGACACCCUGAUGCAGCCACGCUGCGUGCACGCAGACAGUAUUCCUCUCGUAAAGUUCUCUCGUAUGUGCAGAUACUGACCAUCCCCUAGCAGAAAGCUCCGGCUACUUACGUG